rnacentral:lncRNA from 1 species
UCUUUUGACACACAUUCUCCACCACCAUCAAUCCUUAGAGUAUUGAGCUUUCAAUCGCUUUAUCUUUCCACCAUAGAUUUAAACUUUGUGAACACCUCAAUCACAUCACUUUAUUCUUGAUUAGGCAUGUCCACAGUUUUCAACUGAAAUCAUCUAUGAAUGUGACAAAGUAUUUUUUUUUACCACCAAUCAAUUUAUCUGGAUAAAACCACACACAUAUCUGAGUAUAUCACUUCAAGAAUUUCCUUCGACUUUC